rnacentral:rRNA from 1 species
GACGAGGGACCUAGCGUUGUUCGGAAUCAUUGGGCGUAAAGAGUAUGUAGGCGGCCUUGUAAGUCAGUUGUGAAAGCCCCGGGCUCAACCCGGGAAGUGCAAUUGAUACUGCUUGGCUUGAAUGUGGAAGAGGGCAGUAGAAUUCCAGGUGUAGUGGUGAAAUUCGUAGAUAUCAAGCGGAACACCGGUGGCGAAGGCGACCUUCUGGACAGUGACUGACGCUGAGACGCGAAAGCGUGGGGAGCAAACAGG